rnacentral:rRNA from 1 species
GACGUAGGGCGCGAGCGUUGUCCGGAUUUAUUGGGCGUAAAGAGCUCGUAGGCGGCUUGUCGCGUCGUCCGUGAAAACCCGCGGCUCAACUGCGGGCCUGCAGCCGAUACGGGCAGGCUAGAGUUCGGAAGGGGCAACUGGAAUUCUCGGUGUAGCGGUGAAAUGCGUAGAUAUCGAGAGGAACACCUGCGGCGAAGGCGGGUUGCUGGGCCGACACUGACGCUGAUGCGCGAAAGCCAGGGGAGCGAACGGG